AAAUUGAAGAGUUUGAUCAUGGCUCAGAUUGAACGCUGGCGGCAGGCCUAACACAUGCAAGUCGAACGGUAACAGGAAACAGCUUGCUGUUUCGCUGACGAGUGGCGGACGGGUGAGUAAUGUCUGGGAAACUGCCUGAUGGAGGGGGAUAACUACUGGAAACGGUAGCUAAUACCGCAUAACGUCGCAAGACCAAAGAGGGGGACCUUCGGGCCUCUUGCCAUCGGAUGUGCCCAGAUGGGAUUAGCUAGUAGGUGGGGUAACGGCUCACCUAGGCGACGAUCCCUAGCUGGUCUGAGAGGAUGACCAGCCACACUGGAACUGAGACACGGUCCAGACUCCUACGGGAGGCAGCAGUGGGGAAUAUUGCACAAUGGGCGCAAGCCUGAUGCAGCCAUGCCGCGUGUAUGAAGAAGGCCUUCGGGUUGUAAAGUACUUUCAGCGGGGAGGAAGGGAGUAAAGUUAAUACCUUUGCUCAUUGACGUUACCCGCAGAAGAAGCACCGGCUAACUCCGUGCCAGCAGCCGCGGUAAUACGGAGGGUGCAAGCGUUAAUCGGAAUUACUGGGCGUAAAGCGCACGCAGGCGGUUUGUU
rnacentral:rRNA from 1 species